AUACACAGCACAUAGUCCACAGAAACCAUCUAAAACAUUCCUUUCCGUGCUUUUUUCAAGAACAGUGGAAAGUAAAAGGAGGCCAUCACUCUCUCUCUCUCUCUUCUCUCUGUCUGCUUCUUUCAGCCAUGGACAGGCCUCACUGGCCACCACAGGAGAUAGUGGUGAAGCCAAUGGAAGAAAUCGUAGUUCCCAACACCACAAAUUCAAGUAACAAUUACAAUAAUCUCUCAAAGCCAUCUUCAAGUUCUUCCUCUCUUGAAAGAAGGAUAAGACCCCAAAAAGCUGCCGCUGUUAACUGUCCGAGGUGUGAUUCCACCAACACCAAGUUUUGUUACUACAACAAUUACAGUCUUUCACAACCAAGAUACUUUUGCAAGACCUGUAGAAGGUAUUGGACUGAAGGAGGAACACUCAGAAACAUCCCUGUUGGUGGUGGUUCAAGAAAGAACAAGAGAUCAUCGUCUUCUACUACUUCUUCUUCUCUAACUUCGGUCUCAAAGAAGCUUCCUGAUCUAAUUGUACCUUCUGCACCAACAUCAGUACUUUCUCAAAACCCUAGGAUCCUUCAUGAUCAUUAUGGGCAAGAUCUUAACUUGGGGUUUCCAUCCGCUAAUAAUUUCAAGAAUGUUUCUGACUUUAUGCAAAUACCAAACUUUGAUGCCACCAGGAAUACGAAUUCUUCAGCUUCCACCACCAGUAGUAUUACAACUACUGCAUCGGCUUCAGCUCAGCUUUCAGCUUUGGAGCUCUUGACUGGAAUCACAGCAAGGGGUACAAUGAAUUGCUUAAUGCCGAUUCCGAUCCCUGAUUCUAAUUCCGUUUAUUCACAGUCAGGGCAGUUGAUGAUUCCCAUGCCGGAAUUCAAGAUUCCGUCACUUAGCUUUUCUUUGGAUGGAAUGGCGAGUGGUGGCGCGUAUGGGAAUAGUCUUGAUGACAGUACAGAUCGGAGGGUUUUGUUCCCGUUUGAAGAACUGAAAACGAACACAUCAACAACAACUCUUGAUGAACAGCAUGUUGCGCAAGAUAGAGAUCAGAAUGGUGACUCCAAUGGAUUCUGGAAUGGAAUGAUGGGUGGAGGCUCUUGGUAAAGAAACGUAUACAUAUAUAUAUAUAUAUUUUCUUAAAUAAUAGUUUUAAAUUGAACGUGUGGGGAUUUUUGGUCGUUUCUUUCUUUUCAAAUCUUGAUUUUUCUGGUAUGAAAAUGGUGGUGUGGUGAUGAGGACUUGUUUCGAUUUCUGGAAAACCUAACUUUGGUAGGAUCACAGCUCGCUUCUCGUCUUGAAUUAUAUGUUCAGUGAUUCCUCCCUUGAUCAUAUAUUAUAAGUAACUUCUGGUAUUAGUUUGGGAUAUGCUAUUAUGAGAUCCAAGAUUAUGAAGAACAUAUCAUCAAGAAAAGCUAAAGCCAGGUUUUUUAUAGAGGUGUGAUUACACAGAAGGAUGGAGACUGUGAACAUGAAAGUUUGGAUAAUCAGAAAGCAUGCAGAUAAGCAGGAGAAAGAUAGGGACGCAUUGAAGAUGAAGACCCAGGUUUGUACACAUACUUGAGUGUGUGUUUUGCGUGUUGUAUUAUUGUGGGGCCAUGAAGAACAGUAUGAUAGAUAUGAUCAUUCUGUUGAAAUCACAUGUACAUGACGAAUCAAAGUCGAAAACUGCUACACCUGCUCAACUGAAAGUUUCAACUGCUUUAUUAAUCCCAUAUCUCAUCGGUCUCAUCUUGCACGUUACUAACUGUACUAUAUCUCUUUAUAAAAUACGUAAAACCUUCGCCUA